rnacentral:snRNA from 1 species
GGACCUUGAAGUAAAAAUAUUAUCUAAGUUAUAUCUGUUCUUAUCAGUUUGAUAGGUUCUUUAUUUGAAGACUGUAUGUUCAAUUGAUUUUUGAAACAAGGGGAUGGAAAAGGAGCUUCUUUUAUCCACCCCCUGCAUUGACCUGGUAUUGCAGUGUCUCCAGGACCAGUACCUCUCCU